rnacentral:SRP_RNA from 1 species
CUGUUGGUUCUCCCGCAAUGCUAACUUGUGAACUCGGUCAGAUCCGGAAGGAAGCAGCCGCAGCAGGCGACGCGUGUGCCGGGAUGUAGCUGGCAGGGCC